CCUACGGGAGACAGCAGUGAGGAAUAUUGGUCAAUGGACGAGAGCCUGAACCAGCCAAGUAGCGUGAAGGAUGACUGCCCUAUGGGUUGUAAACUUCUUUUAUAUGGGAAUAAAAUGCUCCACGUGUGCGUUUUUGUAUGUACCCUAUGAAUAAGGAUCGGCUAACUCCGUGCCAGCAGCCGCGGUAAUACGGAGGAUCCGAGCGUUAUCCGGAUUUAUUGGGUUUAAAGGGAGCGUAGGCGGAUUGUUAAGUCAGUUGUGAAAGUUUGCGGCUCAACCGUAAAAUUGCAGUUGAAACUGGCAGUCUUGAGUACAGUAGAGGUAGGCGGAAUGCGUGGUGUAGCGGUGAAAUGCUUAGAUAUCACGAAGAACUCCGAUUGCGAAGGCAGCUCACUGGACUGCAACUGACACUGAGGCUCGAAAGUGUGGGUAUCAAACAGGAUUAGAUACCCCAGUAGUC
rnacentral:rRNA from 1 species